GUUGGAUAAAAAUGUUUUGACUUGAUGUUGCUUGUGAGCAAGGAAAAUUGGCAGUGAAGAAGCGUCUCAGCAAAUAACUGAGAUGCUGCACCUGGAGAAAGAAGCUUGCUGGGUGAUUACAAUAGGUCUGCAAAGGAGGAGAACAGGAUGGAGGACUGGGCUAGGAGAAGGAGAAGCUCUGAUGGAUUUGGAAAGACAUCGACAAGGGACUACUCCAUCUGAACUGAAAGGACUGGUCUAUCUUGGUAAAGAGAGUCUUUGUGAUACAAAGUCUGGAUGUGCAGCAUGAGCCAGGACAGCACUAGGCAGGUGAAAGCAGUGUAGGAGCCCCACAGCUGGGACUUCUGUUAGCAUGGCUGGCAAGCCUUUUCUGAUGUGGAAGGUUUGAGUCUUCUCUCACUUAGGCCAAGAAGUAAUGUCUGUGACUGCUGCACUUCAGCUGGAGACAUGCUAUUAUUUCCCCACAAAAUGACAAAACUCAUGUUUAUUACCAGCUAUACAGGUGUGUAAACCUUUCACACUUUUAUCUGUCAAAUUCUGCUGGGUUCCUUGCCUUUGUUGUGAUUGAAUAUACUAUUAUUUCCCCUUUA